rnacentral:rRNA from 1 species
AUUGAACGCUGGCGGCAUGCCUUACACAUGCAAGUCGAACGGCAGCAUGGAGAGCUUGCUCUCUGAUGGCGAGUGGCGAACGGGUGAGUAAAGCAUCGGAACGUACCGUGUAGUGGGGGAUAACGUAGCGAAAGUUACGCUAAUACCGCAUACGCACUGAGGUGGAAAGCAGGGGAUCGCAAGACCUUGCGCUAUACGAGCGGCCGAUGUCAGAUUAGCUAGUUGGUAGGGUAAAGGCCUACCAAGGCGACGAUCUGUAGCGGGUCUGAGAGGAUGAUCCGCCACACUGGAACUGAGACACGGUCCAGACUCCUACGGGAGGCAGCAGUGGGGAAUAUUGGACAAUGGGCGCAAGCCUGAUCCAGCCAUACCGCGUGGGUGAAGAAGGCCUUCGGGUUGUAAAGCCCUUUUGUUGGGAAAGAAAUCCAGCUGGCUAAUACCCGGUUGGGAUGACGGUACCCAAAGAAUAAGCACCGGCUAACUUCGUGCCAGCCGCCGCGGUAA